rnacentral:rRNA from 1 species
AUCAGCCGGUACUCGCCGAAUGCUCUAGAUUAAAGUUUGAUCAUGGCUCAGAUCGAACGCUGGCGGCAGGCCUAACACAUGCAAGUCGAGCGGAUGACGGGAGCUUGCUCCUUGAUUCAGCGGCGGACGGGUGAGUAAUGCCUAGGAAUCUGCCUGGUAGUGGGGGACAACGUUUCGAAAGGAACGCUAAUACCGCAUACGUCCUACGGGAGAAAGCAGGGGACCUUCGGGCCUUGCGCUAUCAGAUGAGCCUAGGUCGGAUUAGCUAGUUGGUGGGGUAAUGGCUCACCAAGGGCGACGAUCCGUAACUGGUCUGAGAGGAUGAUCAGUCACACUGGAAUUGAGACACGGUCCAGACUCCUACGGGAGGCAGCAGUGGGGAAUAUUGGACAAUGGGCGAAAGCCUGAUCCACUUGUGUAGUU